UACGUAGGGGGCUAGCGUUGUUCGGAAUCACUGGGCGUAAAGGGCGCGUAGGCGGCCGAUCAAGUCGGGGGUGAAAGCCUGUGGCUCAACCACAGAAUUGCCUUCGAUACUGUUUGGCUUGAGACCGGAAGAGGUUAGUGGAACUGCGAGUGUAGAGGUGAAAUUCGUAGAUAUUCGCAAGAACACCAGUGGCGAAGGCGGCUGACUGGUCCGGUUCUGACGCUGAGGCGCGAAAGCGUGGGGAGCAAACAGG
rnacentral:rRNA from 1 species